AAGAGUCACAAGGUUUUGGCAUCUGUCCAGAUUCAAAAGUUCAAGCCUAUUCAAAUGUUCGAUUGAUGAUGGUAGCUCUUUUAUAGCCGUUCCGUUCAAGUGAAGCUCCCUUAAGUUUUCCAUAUUCUCCAAGAUUUCUGGAAAGUACUGUAAUUGUGAACAGUCAGAGCCAAAGAGAGAUUUUAGGGAUUUGAACUCCCGAAUGCUUGUUGGCAGACUCUCAAGGUUUUUGCACUCUCGCAAACAUAAGGUAUCAAAUUCAGAGGCAUGCUCAAUGGGUAGUAGGUUGAUUGUCUGACCCUUUAAACAAAGCUUUCGGUGUUCCACGUUCCUCUGACAUUCCACGCAGCUAGCAUCCACAUCCUCAGUCUGUACUAUUGGAUCUUGGGAGUAUAUAGGUUGAAGCCCACACUUGAGCACCUUAAAAUGAUUGCGAGAGCCCAUAAAUAGAGCCCCAAGAAACAUGGAUGGAUUGGUGUGACAGCUCUCCAGAAUAGCAGCCUUGGGAUAGAAUAUCACCCACAUUUGUUCUGAUGCACCUCCAUCAUGGUAGCAUUUACAAGUAGUGCGAAAACUGAGAGGUUGCACACACAGGGGAGAAAAUCCAUAUCCAUCAUGCAAUGACAAUUGACAUUCUAACUCAGUGGAGAUUGAAGAUUCAGCUUCAAAUAAAUCGUCAGAUUCAUUCAGGGCUUCGUCACCAGAUUCAUUCUCCGAAAAUGUAUGUGCAAAAUCAUUUUCUGGUAUGUCCUCACAUUCAUCGAGUGGAGCAUAAACACAGCAUAUAGCAAUUCCCAAGAAGUCAUUAUUUUCAUAACAACUCUGAGGAAGGUCCAUUGUGAUCUGAUAUCCCUCUCUCUGUUUCCUUAUCCACUUGGGAAUUCCACUGCUUCCCGGAACAACAAUACAGAUUCCAUGGCCAAUGAAGUCAGAAUCAGGGAGAAAUACUUCAUUUGAACUGCUCUUGUAUUUCAAAUCCUGUACAAAGGGACAAUGUAAAUCCAGUGGGUCUGUGCCAUUAUGUGAGUUUUUAUGAGAGAGUUUGUUAUCGGUUUUUGAUAAAUUGAUUCCCAGUUUUAACUUUCUUUGAUCUAUGCUCCUGAAUCUACUUAAUAUCCCUUUUAGAUGACGGAUAAUCAAUCAACAUGAAAGUGAGUGACAAGAUUAAGUGUGAAAACUGGAAGUGAGGGGAAACUGAAACUGAAAGUGAGUAGAAUAAGCAGAUCUGUUCUUCACUUGCAGUAGCUUCUUCUCCAUUCAGAUUCAGAGAUCUUAGAAUUGUAGCUUCAACUUAACUCUCAGAAUCUUAAAGACAAAGUUCGCUCAAGUUUCAAAAACUCACAGAAAAGUUUCUCCUCAUGUUUCUUUUAAUCCCAUGAGGCGACAGACAUGUAGCACACACUUACUGGCUUUUUGCCAUGCAAGUUUCAAGGUGGAGUGUCCAAUGAACUAAAACAUUCCCUCAAAUCCUAGUGGAAAUUCACACUAUAAAUUUCAGAAUUUGCUAAAGAAAAGUUUAAUUAAUUUUACCCAUGACUAAAAAGGCAUGUGAGGGCAUUUUAACAGCCUAUUAAUUAUUAUAUUAAACUACUAUUCUCAUUACUCAAACUCAUGAUCCUUCACAUCAUCACCACAUUUUGAAGAGACUUUCGUCAACUCUUCUAUGAAUGAAUUGAUGUUUAAGGAGGCAUAAUAAACUUUUAAUUGAAUUUAACAUUAUUUCUAUCCUUAUACUCAUCUUAAAUUAUUAUUUUUUUAUAUUCUUAUCAAAAUAAAUAAAAACUUAACAAAAAAAAUAAAGAUUUCAAAACAAACUUUAUUAGCAACACUUAUUUACAUCAUUCUUUAAAAAAAUAUUCAAAAACAAAUUUUUUUACAAUUAAAAAAAUGUGAUUUAAAAUUUAUAAAGAACAAAAUUUUUAGAAAAAUAUGGUAGUUGUUUGAAAUAAAAUAAAAGGGAAAUCAAAAUUCUUAGUAAAUGAAUAGUCAAAAAAACUGUAACAGAUAUGCAAAUGAGAAAAAAAAUAAUCAAUGUCAAGAAUGAGAAACAAUUUUUUCUUUUUUCUUUUCUUAUUUUAUGCAUUCAUUACCAUUUUUAAAUUAAUAAAUAAAGUUUUUCUCACAAAAUUUUAAAAUGGCAUGUAUGCUUCAAAAUUUAUAUAUUGUUAUUAGAUUUUUAUAAAUUUCAUUUAUAUCCUCAAAAUUAGAAUCAUUAAACUCACAUUUUAAAAUAAGAUAUCAAAUAGUUAUUUUUUCAUCCUUUAGCAAUAUCAAACGUUUUUUGUACUUUAAUAAAAAAAAAAAAAGCUAUUUUUUCUAAUUAAUGACUAUUUUGCAUAAUAUUUGUAUAAAUUAUUUAAUAUAUAAAUAUUACUUAUUUAAUAGUUUUUUUUUAAUUUCUUAUAGAAAGAGUAGUGCAUACAUAAUUCAAACAAAAGGUAAUUUUAUAUUGCAAAAAAGUUUGUGGAAAAAGGAAAUUUGAACAAGGAUUGAAAUUUAUAGAACCAUAUUGGACACCUAGUUCUAGGUUUGUCCCUUUCCAACAAUCAUGACUUGGUAGUAGCCUAAUCUCAAAUCUAACUUUGUCAGGCCCUUCCUUUACUAAGUCGAUCAAACAAGUUGUUAACAAACAGAAUAAGAUAUUUUUUCUUUUCACCUUGUUGAGUCUUCGAUAAUCUAUACACAUUCAGAGGGAUCCAUUAUGUUUCUUUUAGAAUAAUAUUGAUGUGGCAUAUGAAGCUUUAGUUGGUUGGAUGUAUCCCAUGUUAUGCAACUUCUUAAGUUGUUUCCUUUGUUCUUCUAAAUUAGGUAGUAUCAUCCUAUGGGACCUCCAUGGCAAGGGGCUUAGCUCCUGGCUCUAAGUCAAUCUUGUGCUCCCCUUCCCUUAUUUGUGUGAGUUUCUUAUGUAAUUUUAAUGACAUCUAAGGAUGGCAAAGUUUGAUACAAUUUUUCAACCAAACUUGAAGAAGCGUUAUUAGUGGGUUUGGAAAGUUCUAAUCUAUUUUACUUUUUAAAACAAAGUAAAAUAGAGAACAAUUUUUAAAGAACAAUUAGGAGUUGUUUUUACCAAUUUUUAAAAAACAAAAAAUAUAUAAACUCAUUUGACUAUAUUCUUUUAAACUUGUUUUUAAAUUAAAGAAUAAAAAAUAAUUUUUUAAAAUAAGUUUCAAAAAAUAUGACCAAGUCGGGGUUUAUAAUAUUAAAGAGGAAAAAAGUUAAUUUAAGAUUUUGCAUGCAGGUAAACAUCAGGCUGUAAAACUGGUUUACUAAGACACUCAUUUUAUUUAUAUAUUCUUCUAUGUGCAUGCAUUGACCAUGUGGUUAAGAUGUGUUGCACCGAAAUCUAAUGAUUAGCUGUAAAACGUUAAUUAAUCCGAGCAUACAUUUUUCUUUAUUUGUUUUGGUUUCUUUACAAGAAUGCUUCUUUAUGUAUUCUUGUUGAACCUAUAAAAUAUCAUCCAUAGACAUUCUUUUUGAAUAAUUAAGAACCGAGAUUUCUAAUUGGUUGGUUAUUAUUUUUAUCUGUAAGGAAUCGAAAUUUAGCUCAUCAUUUAUCGUAUGAAUAUCAUAUAGAUUUGAAAAGAAUUUCACACUUAGAAAUGUACCUCUCAGAACAUUUGAAGUUAAGAUGUUUUUGUCUUCUUCAAUUUGAUUGCUCAUUACGACUUUGAGAUUCAAAUUCCUUUUGAUGUAAAAAACAAACUUAAAUAAAUAAAAAGAAUUAAAAGAUAAGCAGAGCAAAAAAUUAAAUAGUGUGAGUUGGAAUGAAUAAAGUUUUAAUCAAAAUUGGAAAUUAAGGUGAAACAUCCUAAAUUAUAUACAAAAGCUCAUAUAAUAUUACACCAUAAUUUCUCUAAAUUAAUCUUAACCUUUUAGUGCAGUGUGUACAGUCAUUGCUUGUUUGUGGAUUAGAAUUAGUAUCUUCUGCUGCUGAUCUGGUAUCACAACUUCUCUGCUCAUCAUUGUACUCUAUCAUUGUCUGAUGGUCGCGCCUGGUGGCUUCUGUGUUGUCACAGCUUCUCCGAGCAUCACUACUGGUAUCUUCUGGGAUGUUUCUGUUUAUAACAUCAGGUGUAUAUAUAAGAUGGAACCCACACUCUUUCACUUCGACUGGUGUACCGUCCAAGCUAUGAAAUGAAGCCUUCAAACGUCUCCAUUCGUUCGACCAAUACUGGUUGCCAAUAACAACCUUGGGAUAAUAAGUCACACACAUUUGACUUGAUUCACCGCAAAUUCGGCAGCAAUAAGACCGGACAUCAUCCACGUGACAGCAUUCAGAUUGAUCACCACAGAUAUUGAGUUCGCAAUUCAACCAACCACAAGCCAUAGGAAUAAAAACAGAGUAUAAAGCAAAUCCUAAGAAGCCAUCUUUUCUGUACAAAUCCGUAGAAAGCUCUAUUGUUAUUUGAGAUCCUUUUUUUGGCUGGCUUAUCCACUCUGGAAUUCCAUCAUUUCCCGAAAUAACAACUCUGAUUGCCUUGUUCCAAUAGGAGCCGCAUUCAAAUUCCUGCACAGAAGUACAGUGUUAAUACUCUGUUCAUAAGGAAAAAGGGCUGAAUGUUAUGAAAAUCAUACCUCAAUCAUUGAUUUGAAGCAUUUGAACAGAGAAAAACCAAGUUGACUUGAUGGACUUGAUAAAGUUUCCAAGCAUGUGCAACUGUGGACAUCUAGAACUCGUAAACUUGGUGGAAACUCUGGAACUUGUAGAAGCCCCUGGCAGUGACUCAAUUCAAGGACUCUCAGUUUAGAAAGUUGAAUGAUGCCUGCAAGUAUGCUACUAAAACAGUCCUUGCUUAGAUUUAGACCUGAAGCGUACAAACCCUCUAAACAUUGCAAACUCCUCAGGUUCUCGGGAAAUCUCUCAAGUUUUGUACAGAAACUGACAUUUAGAAUUUUGAGAGUUUUCAAAUUACAAAAGGCCUCUGGAAGACUCACAAGGUAUUGCGAGAUUCAAAUAUUGAAGCCCUCUUAGAUAUUGAAUUGAUGCUGGUAGUUCUUCGAUAGCAGUUCCAUCUAAAUGAAGCUCUCUUAUAUUUUCCACAUCCUCGAGGAUUUCCGGAAAGCUCCUUAAUCGUGAACAGCCUGAGCAGAAGAGAGUUGUAAGGGAUUUCAACUCACAUAUGCUACUGGGAAGAAGCUCAAGGUUUUUGCAUUCUCGCAAACAUAACCUAUUAAGUUUAUGGGGACACUCAACAGUGGGUAGUUCAUUGAUGGCAUUUCACUUUAAACAAAGCUUCCAUAGGGAUUGCACAUCCUCUUGACAUUCCCGGCAAACGGUGGAUAUCAUUGCUUUACCAUGGUUCUGUUCAUGAUCAUGGGCAUAUAUAAGAUGGAUCCCACACUCUUCUACUUUCACUGCUUUACCUCUCAAGUAGCCACAAAAUGAAGCCGUCAACUGCCUCCAUUUAUUUGAGUGGUACUUCUCCUCAAUCUCAUGCUUAGGAUAAUAAAUCAUCCACAUACAAGGUACAACAUAGACGUGAAAUGAGGGAUAAAACUGGAGUUUAUCCACAAACUGAAUUUCAUGACCACGCAAAGUUAAACCAUACUCGAAGUAAGUUGCACCAUUCUCCAGUGUCUCCUCAGAUUCAUUAUCCAGUGGAUAAUAGACACAGUACAAAACAAAACCCAACAAGUCGUCAUUUUUAUACCAAUUUUGAGGAAGCUUUGCUACUACUUCAGCUCCCUUUUUGUGAUGGCUUAUCCAAUCUGGAAUUCCACAACUUUCUGAAAUAAUAAGAUUUACUCGGGCAAAAGGUUUUUCUAAAGGAUAAAUCUUGCAUUCCAAAUCCUGCAGAAAAUUUAAUUAACACUUAAAUCCCCAUGUCUCCACAAAAAAAGUUUUGGUCUAUGAAUAUCAUACCUGAAUCAAUGAUUUGAAGCAGUUGAAUAGAGAAGACCAGAGUAGACCUGAAGAAGUUUCCAGCCGUUUGCACAAAUGUAUAUCUAAGACACGCAAACUGGAUGGAAGUGCUGGAAUUUGUCGAAGCUCUUGACAGUUACCCAAGACAAGGAGUCUCAGCCUAGAAAGUUGAUUGAUCCCAGCAGGUAUGCUCCUAAAAAGAUUCCCGAAUAGAAAUAAUUCUUGCAGAGAUGAUAGCUGGCAAAUUUCAGUGGGGAUUCCUCCUUCAUCUAUACCACACACACGUAGAUCUACAACUUCCAAGGAGUACAAGCAGCAAAUAUCACUCAGGACUACUCCUUGCAUUAGCUUUGAGUAAAUAAGAUCUAACUCCUUUAAGGAGCAUAAACCUGACAAAGAAAGCAAUUGGCAACAUCUUGAAUUUAAGCCCCUAGCACGGAGACACUUCAAGCUUUGCAGCCUCCCCAGGUUUUGUGGCAAUUUGUGGAGUUUUGAACAGUAAUUCACAUUGAGAUCUUCAAGAAAGCGUAAAUUACAAAUGCUUUCUGGAAGAGUCACAAGGUUUUUGCACCUCUCAAGAUUCAAAACUUGAAGCCUAUUCAAAUGUUCGAUUGAAGAUGGUAGCUCUUUUAUGGCCGUUCCGUUCAAGUGAAGCUGCCUUAAGUUUUCCAUAUUCUCCAAGAUUUCUGGGAAGUACUGUAAUUGUGAACAGUCAGAGCAAAAGAGAGAUUUUAGGGAUUUGAACUCCCAAAUGCUUGUUGGUAGACUCUCAAGGUUUUUGCACUCUCGCAAACAUAAGGUAUCAAAUUCAGAGGCACACUCAAUGGGUGGUAGGCUGAUUGUCUGACCCUUUAAACAAAGCUUUCGGUGUUCCACAUUCCUCUGACAUUCAGCGCAGCUAGCAUCCACAUCAUCAGUCUGUACUAUUGGAUCUUGGGCGUAUAUAGGUUCAAGCCCACACUUGAGCACCUUAAAAUGAUUGCGACAGCCCAUAAAUAUAGCCCCAAGAAACAUGGAUGGAUUGGUGUGACAGCUCUCCAGAAUAGCAGCCUUGGGAUAGAAUAUCACCCACAUUUGUUCUGAUCCACCUCCAUCAUGGUAGCAUUUACAAGUAGUGCGAAAACUGAGACGUUGCGCACACAGGGUAGAAAAUCCAUAUCUAUCAUGUAAUGACAAUUUACAUUCUAACCCAGUGGAGAUUGAAGAUUCAGCUUCAAGUAAAUCGUCAUAUUCAUUUAGGGCUUCGUCACCAGAUUCAUUCUCCGAUGUAUGUGCAAAAUCAUUUUCUGGUAUGUCCUCACAUUCAUCGUGUGGAGCAUAAACACAGCAUAUAGCAAUUCCCAAGAAGUCAUUAUUUUCGUAACAAUUCUGAGGAAGGUCCAUUGUGAUAUGAUUUCCCUCUCUCUGAUUCCUUAUCCACUUGGGAAUUCCACAGCUUCCCGGAACAACAAUACAGACUCCAUUGCCAAUGAAGUCAGAAUCACGGAGAAAUACUUCAUUUGAACUGCUCUUGUAUUUCAAAUCCUGUACAAAAGGACAAUGUAAAUCCUGUGGGUCUGUGCCAUUAUGUGAGUUUUUAUGAGAGAGUUUGUUAUCAGUUUUUGAUAAAUUGAUUCCCAGUUUUAACUUUCUUUGAUCUAUGCUCCUGAAUCUACUUAAUAUCCCUUUUAGAUGACGGAUUAUCAAUCAACAUGAAAGUGAGUGACAAGAUUAAGUGUGAAAACUGGAAGUGAGGGGAAACUGAAACUGAAAGUGAGUAGAAUAACCAGAUCUCUUCUUCACUUGCAGUAGCUUCUUCUCCAUUCAGAUACAGAGAUCUUAGAAUUGUAGCUUCAACUUAACUCUCAGAAUCUUAAAGACAAAGUUCGCUCAAGUUUCAAAAACUCACACAAAAAUUUCUCCUCAUGUUUCUCUUAAUCCUAUGAGGCGAGAGACAUGUAGCACACACUUAUUGGCUUUUUUACAUGCAAGUUUCAAGGUGGAGCGUCUAAUGAACUAAAACAUUCCCUCAAAUCCCAGUGGAAAUUCACACUAGAAAUUGCAGAAUUUGCUAAGGAAAAGUUUAAUUCAUUUAAUCCAUGAAUAAAAAAGUAUGUGAGAGCAUUUUAACAUCCUAAUACUUAUUAUAUUAAACUAUAAUUCUCAUUAUUUAAACUCAUGAUCCUUCACUUCAUCACCAAAUUUUGAAGACACUUUUGGCAUCUCUUCCAUGAAUUAAUUGAUGUUUAAGAAGGUAUAAUAAACUUUUAAUUGAAUUUAACAUUAUUUCUAUCCUAAUACUCAUCUUAAACUCUGUUUUUUUUUUUUUUAUACUCUUAUCAAAACAAAUAAAAACUUAACAAAAAAAUAAAGAUUUCAAUUACUCCGUGUUCAAAAGGGAAAAUGGCUAAAUGUCAUGAAAAUCAUACCUCAAUAGUUGAUUUAAAGCAUUUGAACAGAGAAACACCAAGUAGACAUGAUGGACUUGAUAAAACUUCCAAGCAUGUGCAACUGUGGACAUCUAGAACUCGUAAACUUGGUGGAAGCUCUGGAACUUGUAGAAGCCCCUGGCAGUGACUCAAUUCAAGGACUCUCAGUUUAGAAAGUUGAAUGAUGCCUGCAAGUAUGCUACUAAAACAGUCCUUGCUUAGAUUUAGACCUGAAGCGUACAAACCCUCUAAACAUUGCAAACUCCUCAGGUUCUCGGGAAAUCUCUCAAGUUUUGUACAGAAACUGACAUUUAGAAUUUUGAGCGUUUUCAACUUACAAAUGGCCUCUGGAAGACUCACAAGGUUGCUGCAAUCUGCAAGAUUCAAAUGUUGAAGCCCUCUUAGAUAUUGAAUUGAUGCUGGUAGUUCUUCUAUAGCAGUUCCAUCUAAAUGAAGCUCUCUUAUAUUUUCCACAUCCUCGAGGAUUUCCGGAAAGCUCCUUAAUCGUGAACAGCCUGAGCAGAAGAGAGUUGUAAGGGAUUUCAACUCACAUAUGCUACUGGGAAGAAGCUCAAGGUUUUUGCAUUCUCGCAAACAUAACCUAUUAAGUUUAUGGGGACACUCAAUAGUGGGUAGUUCAUUGAUGGCAUUUCCCUUUAAACAAAGCUUCCAUAGGGAUUGCACAUCCUCUUGACAUUCCCGGCAAACGGUGGAUAUCAUUGCUUUACCAUGGUUCUGUUCAUGAUCAUGGGCAUAUAUAAGAUGGAUCCCACACUCUUCUACUUUCACUGCUUUACCUCUCAAGUAGCCACAAAAUGAAGCCGUCAACUGCCUCCAUUUAUUUGAGUGGUACUUCUCCCCAAUCUCAUACUUAGGAUAAUAAAUCAUCCACAUAUAAGGUACAACAUUGCCGUAAAAUGAGGGAUAAAACUGGAGUUUAUCCACAAACUGAAUUUCAUGACCACGCAAAGUCAAACCAUACUCGAAGUAAGUUGCAUCAUUCUCCAGUGUCUCCUCAGAUUCAUUAUCAAGUGGAUAAUAGACAGAGUACAAAACAAAACCCAACAAGUCGUCAUUUUUAUACCAAUUUUGAGGAAGCUUUGCUACUACUUCAGCUCCCUUUUUGUGAUGGCUUAUCCAAUUUGGAAUUCCACAACUUUCUGAAAUAAUAAGAUUUACUCGGGCAAAAGGUUUUUCUAAAGGAUAAAUCUUGCAUUCCAAAUCCUGCAGAAAAUUUAAUUAACACGUAAAUCCCCAUGUCUCCACAAAAAAAGUUUUGGUCUAUGAAUAUCAUACCUGAAUCAAUGAUUUGAAGCAGUUGAAUAGAGAAGACCAGAGUAGACCUGAAGAAGUUUCCAGCCGUUUGCACGAUUGUACAUCUAAGACACGCAAACUGGAUGGAAGCACUGGAAUUUGUCGAAGCUCUUGACAGUUACUCAAGACAAGGAGUCUCAGCCUAGAAAGUUGAUUGAUCCCAGCAGGUAUGCUCCUAAAAAGAUUCCCGAUUAGAAGUAAUUCUUGCAGAGAUGAUAGCUGGCAAAUUUCAGUGGGGAUUCCUCCUUCAUCUAUACCGCAGAAAGAUAGAUCUAACACUUCCACGGAGUACAAGCAGCAAAUAUCACUCAGGACUACUCCUUGCAUUAGCUUUGAGUAAAUAAGAUCCAACUCCUUUAAGGAGCAUAAACCUGACAAAGAAAGCAAUUGGCAACAUCUUGAAUUUAAGCCCCUAGCACGGAGACGCUUCAAGCUUUGCAGCCUCCCCAGGUUUUGUGGCAAUUUGUGGAGUUUUGAACAGAAAUUGACAUUGAGAUCCUCAAGAAAGCGUAAAUUACAAAUGCUUUCUGGAAGAGUCACAAGGUUUUUGCACCUCCCCAGAUUCAAAACUUGAAGCCUAUUCAAACGUUCGAUUGAAGAUGGUAGCUCUUUUAUAGCCGUUCCAUUCAAGUGAAGCUGCCUUAAGUUUUCCAUAGUCUCCAAGAUUUCUGGGAAGUACUGUAAUUGUGAACAGUCAGAGCAAAAGAGAGAUUUUAGGGAUUUGAACUCCCAAAUGAUUGUUGGUAGACUCUCAAGGUUUUUGCACUCUCGCAAACAUAAGGUAUCAAAUUCAGAGGCACGCUCAAUGGGUGGUAGGCUGAUUGUCUGACACUUUAAACAAAGCUUUCGGUGUUCCACAUUCCUCUGACAUUCAGCGCAGCUAGCUUCCACAUCCUCAGUCUGUACUAUUGGAUCUUGGGCGUAUAUAGGUUCAAGCCCACACUUGAGCACCUUAAAAUGAUUGCGACAGCCCAUAAAUAUAGCCCCAAGAAAAAUGGAUGGAUUGGUGUGACAGCUCUCCAGAAUAGCAGCCUUGGGAUAGAAUAUCACCCACAUUUGUUCUGAUC
rnacentral:lncRNA from 1 species